CAGGUUGGUUGCAAGAGGAGCCACUAUAAGUAGAGCCUACGUCCUACCACAUCUCCUGAGAAACCCAACCCAACCCAACGAGAGCUAAUAUCCAUCCUUGCAGCUAACCGAUCAGAUCAUGGCCAUGGGGACUAGGCGCGCCGCUCUCUGCUUUCUUCUGCUAGUCGCCGUCUUCUUACAAGGCAACCCUACAUUGGUUUCAGCGGACGAGGAGUGCAAGUACAGGAUUCCGUACGUACCCUUCUGCAAGGGGUGGAGCUGCAAGGUGGAGUGCUGGCUGGAGGCCAAGCUCUUCCGCGCCCGUCUACAGGAGCACAAGUGCAUCAGGGGCGGCAUCAAGGGCGCCUGCUACUGCCUCUUCUGCGGGAAGCACCUCCAAUGAAAUACAUACAUCAUCCAUCCAUCAUUUGCUCGCUCGCUCGUCCAGUAGGCAUUACCACUAGUUAUUUAUCUCAAACGUUCCUCAUCCACGUUCGCUUAUCCAGCCGAAGCCAAUAAUUCCUUUUCUCAUAAACGAAUUGCGACUAGUUUAUAUAUUAAGGUAGCAGCAGCAGCAGCUCUAGCACGUAGGAGCUUCAGAUGUAGUUAGUCUCAGUUUGGAGAUUGAAUUCUUUUUUUUUUUUGGCUUCCUAGAUAGCUGCUACGACCGUGUAAUGUCUUGCUUCAAUUAAUGUUAUUAUGGAUUAAUAAAAUUGUAUGAUGAUCUCUGCGUAA